rnacentral:lncRNA from 1 species
CAUUUAUCAAUCUAUCACUUCUUGGUCACUCAUUUAUUCCUUUUUUACCCCAGACUUUAUUUCCACAAUGCAUCCCUUACACAUACAAAUGCACACUCCUUUUGGUAUGUUUUAUUUACACAAAACAUAUCCAUCCUAUAUUUAUACAUUUCAUACAAGUUCCUGUUCAUUCCUUUUUAUUUGUCUAUUCACAUUCCACACACUCAAUUUCCAUUCAUACUUCUGUAAGGAUGCUGCAAUGGGUUAUAUCAGAUGGACCGAGUUGUCAAUUUGUAAUAGUGUUGCAAGCCAAAAUCGUACACGGUCGCGUAAGCAAGUGGCACAGGGAUCCAGGAAUGAGUGAUUGACUUGAACAUAAUAUAACUGAAAG